rnacentral:rRNA from 1 species
GCAAGUCGAACGAGACCUUCGGGUCUAGUGGCGCACGGGUGCGUAACGCGUGGGAAUCUGCCCUUGGGUUCGGAAUAACAGUUGGAAACGACUGCUAAUACCGGAUGAUGACGUAAGUCCAAAGAUUUAUCGCCCAGGGAUGAGCCCGCGUAGGAUUAGCUAGUUGGUGAGGUAAAGGCUCACCAAGGCGACGAUCCUUAGCUGGUCUGAGAGGAUGAUCAGCCACACUGGGACUGAGACACGGCCCAGACUCCUACGGGAGGCAGCAGUGGGGAAUAUUGGACAAUGGGCGAAAGCCUGAUCCAGCAAUGCCGCGUGAGUGAUGAAGGCCUUAGGGUUGUAAAGCUCUUUUACCCGGGAUGAUAAUGACAGUACCGGGAGAAUAAGCUCCGGCUAACUCCGUGCCAGCAGCCGCGGUAAUACGGAGGGAGCUAGCGUUGUUCGGAAUUACUGGGCGUAAAGCGCACGUAGGCGGCGAUCUAAGUCAGAGGUGAAAGCCCGGGGCUCAACCCCGGAAUAGCCUUUGAGACUGGAUUGCUUGAAUCCAGGAGAGGUGAGUGGAAUUCCGAGUGUAGAGGUGAAAUUCGUAGAUAUUCGGAAGAACACCAGUGGCGAAGGCGGCUCACUGGACUGGUAUUGACGCUGAGGUGCGAAAGCGUGGGGAGCAAA